rfam:Schistosoma curassoni strain Dakar, Senegal genome assembly, scaffold: SCTD_scaffold0003449
GCACUACUGAGGAGUCCCACAAUAGUACGAAAUGGCCAUCCAGUGC